AGUUUAAGAAGCUCUAUUCAAAGAACUGAACAUAUCAACUAGGUCCUGUGAAGACGGGUUCAGUUCAGUAACAGCAGGACUCUCAAAAGCUGGAAAGAAAAACCUGCAGGAGCCUAAAGAGGAAGUCAUAGACAGGAAGCCCAGUGUCAUGAAGUGUCAUGAAGCACAGGCUGGACUCAAGAUUGCUGCACAAACAAAGGAAUGUGCAAAUAUGAUAAAAGCAAAGAAACUCAUGAGAAGAGAUGAGCAGAUGACAGUGGACCUGCACAACUUCUCUGGAAGCUACUGUAAUGUCUACUAGGACUCGAUGCCAACAUGACUUCUGAUGGGCCCAGUCCUAACACUCAGUUACAAAGAUGGAGCUGGAAUAGUCAUUACGUACUCACCUGGUGUAACAGACGCUUGAGUUUCAGUAACUGUGUUUUUACAGCUGUGCAAUCCUGGACCAUGUGCCGGAGGGUCAUCUCAUCCAAAAUCACUGUGUUGUCUGGCACAUCAACAAACAUCUUCUGAGCCUGGAAAAAGGGGGUCCCUCCAUAGCUUUCAAAAUGACCCAAAGGAGAUUCUCUAUAAGGAGAGCCUCUGGAAGGGUGGGGAAGAAGGAAGGAAAAUAGAUACAAUUUCAGAAGAAAGAAAGAAUGGGACAGCACUACUACAGCAAUCUUUACAACUCAGUUCACAGCACCUUCAUACUCACCACAAUAACCGAAUUCCCUCUGAGCAGUUCCAUCUCCUUAGCUGCUAGCAAAACUGACUUUUAUGAUUCCCUAACCCCAUCCACUUUGUGUAUUCACACACUGGCUGAAUGAACCAUCCUUAAGAGCAGACAAUGCUCUUGACAAAGCUCUAGCUGUUAGAGGUAUGCUCACCCCUUUCUGUGCUGACAGGUCUUCAGCUUCUGACUUGGGGUGGCAUCUUAAAUGGUACAGCACUCUAGAUCCACAGCUAACUGACAGACUAUUAUUAAAGCUGAUGGUGUGAUUUCUUCCUUCUUUUUUUACAUUAACAAUCAUCUUUACUAAUAAAGGUAAAGGUUUUACAAGA